rnacentral:sRNA from 1 species
GCCAGGCACGGUGGUGCAUGCCUGUAAUCCCAGCAGCUGGAAGGCUGAAACAGGAAGAUCUCCAGUUCAAAGUUAGCUUCAGAAACAUUGAGGUGCUAAGCAACUCAGUGAGACCCUGUCUCUC